rnacentral:rRNA from 1 species
UCCCAGCGGUCCGAGUCGCACCCACAAUUAUUGGGUCUAAACCCUCCGUAGCUUGCUAGAUAAGUCUCUUGUGAAAUCCGGCCUCUUAAGGGUCGAAGAGCAAGAGAUACUGUUUGGCUAGAGACCGGGAGAGGUAAGAAGUACGGUCGGGGUACCGGUAAAAUGGGUUGAUCCUGUCUGGACUAACAACAGCGAAGGCAUCUUACCAGCACGGAUCUGACAGUAAGGGAUGAAGGCUAGGGGCGCAAAAGGG